CCUGCAAGGGAAAUACAAAGGAAACUGUAUAUGUGUAGGAAACAAAGGCUCAUAGCAUCACACAAUGAAUUUGGUUUUCUCUUUCUCCACAGAACUUAAGUUACGGAUUCUGUCUUCUGUCCUGCGUGCCACAUUCUUACAGCGCCACAGAGAUCUUAUCUGGAGCAGAAUAAACCAAUUCAUCUGACCUUUCAACUGCCAGCUCUUCUGUAAGGGUAUGAGGCUGCUCUUUCACCUGCUACUUGACCUCCCACCUUUGCUGGAACUGACCAGAAAGAUCAAUGAAUUUCAAAAAACCCAACCAGCCUAUCAGGAGCUAGAGAAGUUAAGACCAAGCCUUGCCUCUUUGCCUCAACACUGGGAGAAGAGCAGCCAAGAAGCAGUAAGAAGGGUAAAGACUACGCCCCAUUUCUUGGCCCUAAUACUGCGAACAGAGCAGCGAAGAAGCAGGAAAAAAGGAAAAGACUAUGCCCCGCCUCUUGGCCCUAAUACCGGGAGCAGAGCAGCCAAGAAGUAGGAAAAAGGGAAGGACUAUGCCCCGCCUCCUUGUCCAAAUACUGGGAGAAGAGCAACCAAGAAGCAUGAAGAAGGGAAAGGACUAUGCCCCGCCUCUUGGCCCCAAUACUGGGAGAAGAGCAACCAAGAAGAACGAAGAAGGGAAAGGACUAUGCCCCACCUCUUGGCUCCAAACUGGGAGAAGAGCAACCAAGAAGAACGAAGAAGGGAAAGGACUAUGCCCCGCCUCUUGGCCCCAAUACUGGGAGAAGAGCAACCAAGAAGCAUGAAGAAGGGAAAGGACUAUGACCAGCCUCUUGGCCCCAAUACUGGGAGAAGAGCAACCAAGAAGAAAGAAGAAGGAAAUGGACUAUGCCCCGCCUCCUUGUCCAAAUACUGGGAGAAGAGAAACCAAGAAGCAGGAAAAAGGGAAGGACUAUGCCCCGCCUCCUGGCCCAAAUACUGUGAGAAGAGCAACUAAGAAGCACGAAGAAGGGAAAGGAUAUGCCCCGCCUCCUGGCCCUAAUACUGGAAGCGGAGCAGCCAAGAAGCAGGAAGUAGUGGGAGAAGAGCAGCCUACAAUGAGAGAAUAUGUAAUUGCUGGAGGCAUCUUACAUUCGGUUGUCAAGGGGGGCAUUUAUAUUGGGCAAAAUUCAAACUGAGCCAAGCUGAAAACAAAACGCCCCAUCCGAUAACAAACAAGACGCACUAAAACAUUAUUUCUGUUCAA